GUGCUUGCUCAGGCAGCACAUAUGAAAAAUUGGAAUCGAUACAGAGAAGAUUAGCAUGGCCCAUGCGAAAGGAUGACACGCAAAUUCGUGAAGCGUUUCCACAUUUU
rnacentral:snRNA from 1 species